rnacentral:lncRNA from 10 species
GUAUAAAGCAGAUUUGUUCUUCAUAUCCCAUUCAUUUACCUGUCUCAUUUUAUGCAUGAAUAAACAGGCUGAAUAUAUAACAAAUAACUACAAGAUUAAGUCUGUCAAUUGGAUUAUGAAUAAAAUUAUCCCAGUUCCUGGGGCAAAAAAACAAAAAUAAAGCAAACUGGACACCCCCAAAACGUGUGUUAAGUGACAGGACUCACUUAAGAAAUGUUGGUUGAAUCUGAAUAUCAAUUCCCUUCUAUAAGAAAACUUCUGGAAUAUUAGCCAAAUUCUCUAAAGCUAGAUAAAUAUGACAAACCCCCAAAUUUUCUUUACAGUAAAUUCGAACAGUAUUCCAUGGCAAAAGCUGUUACAUAAAACAAUGCAUUUACUUCCUCUCACUAGAAGAAAAAAACAAACAAAAGAGAGUAUGUUCACUUAAAAAAAAAAAGCUUGACAAAAUGGAGUGCUUAGAGGAGUUUUAUAUUUAAUAUGUCAUCCUGAAUCAUUAUUGUGAAUAUGUUAUGAACUUAGUUUGAAUUAAUAGAUUCUACGGGAUAAAAAGAGAAUAAGAACAUCAAGGUCAAUUCUGCUCUAUACUUUGCUGUCAGCUGAAGGUCAGAUGGACACACUGAAGACAUAUGUCACUUAUCUAUUAAGCCUGUGUGAGAUCUGGUUUAUAUAAACAAUCAAAUGGAAAAUUAGCUGGGUAAUUUCAAAAGAAGGGGGAGAAAAAAGUCUGUUAAGCAGUGCAAUGAAGCUUGAAUAGAUCAGAAGAAACUAAAACCCCAGCUCGGUAGAUGCCGAUACUGGUUUGCAUGGAGGAGUUAUUUUGCUAAAAGGAAGUAAAACCGCUUCGUGAAAUGUGUUGUCCUGUGAUAUGACAAGCACUGGGCCAGUGUGCGAAAAUGGAAAUGCUUCACGGAGGCCUUGAGAAAAGUUUGUUUUUUUUUUUUUUUUUUUUUUUUUUUUUUUUUAGCAUUUUCUACAGUAAACUCUCUGAGAAAUUCCAACAAAGCCUAUGUCUUUUUGCCCACAUUUUAAACAGUGAUUCAGGGCAGCAGUAGGGGAAAAAAAAGUAAAUAUACAUUGUAGCUUUUCAUUCAGUAAAUACCUCAAAACUAAAAAAAUUGAUUUUAAAAGCCUUCUAUUUUUCUCUUGGAAUAUUUCCUGUUAUUUGGAAAUUACGCCAUU